GAAACACCCCGUUUCUCGCUGAUUUCACUGUUUUCAGGUGAGUUAAGUCCAUAAAAUCACACAAAUAUUACUUAUAAUUUGACUCGCUUCUGUUGUUUAUUUACUUUAUAGGAAUGGUUUAAUGUCUUCGAAGAAGUCCGUUAGCGUUUCUACCGUUUUCAGACGACGUAUCGUCAGAAGGGAGUUUCCAAGAUUUCAAUAUUUCUGAAGGGAGCUGCUGACAGAGAUGUAGGAAGCACUGAAAAGAUUCUCCAGUGCUGAUGGCCUGCUGCAUCCAGCAGAGUCGGAGUGAACCUACUGUAAGACAACAUCUCCAAGAUGCUAUUGACCACAAGACUAGUACAGUAAGUCAAACCUCAAAUAUACAGUACACUAGUGUUCAAAAGCUUGAAGUUGAUACAAUUUGUAAUAAUUAUCUUCUGCUCACCUCUGUAGUAAUUAUUUGAUUAAAAUAUGUAAAAAGAUUAAUAUUGUGAAAUAUUAUUACAAUUUAAAAUAGCUGUUUUCUAUGUGAAUACAUUAUAAACUAAUUUAUUCCUGUGAUGUGCAGCUGUAUUUUCAGCAUCAUUCCUCCAGUCUUCAGUGUCACAUGGAUCCCUCAGAAAUGCUGAUUUGCUGCUCAAGAAACUUAUUAUCAGCGUUGAAACAGUUGUGCUGCUUCCAUUUUUUUGUAGAAACCGUGAUGCAUUUUAUUUUUCAGGAUUCACAGAUGAAUACAAAGUUCAAAAGACCUGCAUUUAUUUAUGCAGACGCUUUUAUCCAAAGCGACUUACAGCGCAUUCAGGCUAUCAAUUUUUACAUAUCAUGUGUUCCCGGGGAAUCAAACCCCCAACCUUGCGCUUGCUUGCUUGCUAGCACAGUGCUCUACCAGUUGAGCUACAGGAACACUAUUUGAAACAGAUGAUUUUGAACAAUUUGAUGCAUGUAACACUAACAUUAAAAUGUUUAGAGUCUAUGUAACAAUGAAUCCAACAACAAAAAAAUUCAGCACAUCUGUAUUUUAACAUUGAUCAUAAUCAGAAAUGUUUCUUGAGCAGUAAAUCAUCAUAUUAGAAUGAUUUCUGAAGAUUUGUCACUGAAGACUGGAGUAAUGAUGCUGAAAAUUCAGCUUUGAUCAAAGGAAUAAAUGACAUUUUAACAUAAUAUUCACAUAGAAAAGAGUUGUUUUGAAUUCUAAU